GAUGAACGCUGGCGGCGUGCCUAAUACAUGCAAGUCGAGCGAACAGACGAGGAGCUUGCUCCUCUGACGUUAGCGGCGGACGGGUGAGUAACACGUGGAUAACCUACCUAUAAGACUGGGAUAACUUCGGGAAACCGGAGCUAAUACCGGAUAAUAUAUUGAACCGCAUGGUUCAAUAGUGAAAGACGGUUUUGCUGUCACUUAUAGAUGGUUCCGCGACGCAUUAGCUAGUUGGUAAGGUAACGGCUUACCAAGGCAACGAUGCGUAGCCGACCUGAGAGGGUGAUCGGCCACACUGGAACUGAGACACGGUCCAGACUCCUACGGGAGGCAGCAGUAGGGAAUCUUCCGCAAUGGGCGAAAGCUUGACGGAGCAACGCCGCGUGAGUGAUGAAGGUCUUCGGAUCGUAAAACUCUGUUAUUAGGGAAGAACAAAUGUGUAAGUAACUAUGCACGUCUUGACGGUACCUAAACAGAAAGCCACGGCUAACUACGUG
rnacentral:rRNA from 1 species